UUUCGCGCCCAAAAGGUGUUCGAUGAAAUGUCUGAACCACUAAUUCCAGAGAUUUGUGACCCUGUACCAAGGUAUUGGUUGCAGGGAGCGUUUUGGCUUUAACUUGUUGAUUCGUAAUGCCUGUUAGGUUAGCUCUCGUCAAUGGUGAUUGAGUCUGGGACUAGGUUAGCUUGAGAGUCUCUGUUGCGGUGGCACUUAGAUUUGGUUAAUGAACUUGUUGUCUAGGGUUAAUUUAUUGAGCAUGUCAAUCACCUGUAAACUGAGAAAACGAAACUACUCAAUUAUCCCAUCCUUAGGAAUUCUUUAUCUGAUUGAUUUUAUUGUUUACUCUACUGCUGUGUACUGCAUACUGUCAUCUGUUGCUUAGUUUCUGCAAUUCUUUACUGUUACUCGACCUGGUACUCGACCACCCAGUUGUCUGGCAACAGACUGUGCAGUCGAGCAUCCCUGUUUCAUUUUCUGUCUGUUACUCGACCUGUCACUCGACCUCACCCAGUGCUCUACAAGGAGCUGUGUUGGUCGAGUGUUUUGCUGUUUCUGUUUGAUUCUCUGUUUUCUGCAUGUUCACUUAGGACUGCUAGAAUACACCAAAACCUGCUAUUGCUUGGCUUGACUUAGUGACUUCUGAUCACAUCUUGAUUGUUAGCAUCACACCCAUUUGGAUUGACAACCUAAAAUACUACAACGACAUGAUUGGUGUUUUAGGAUAAUUGACUU
rnacentral:sRNA from 1 species